ACGAGUAUAGUUAAGUGGCUAUAACCUCUACCUUCCAAGUAGAUAUCAUCAGUUCGAAUCUGAUUAUUCGUA
rfam:Moniliophthora roreri mitochondrion, complete genome.